AGAUCAAACUGAAGAGUUUGAUCCUGGCUCAGAUUAAACGCUAGCGGCAUGCCUUACACAUGCAAGUCGAACGGCAGCGGGCUCUUCGGAGUGCCGGCGAGUGGCAGACGGGUGAGUAAUACAUCGGAACAUGCCCAGUAGUGGGGGAUAGCUCGGCGAAAGCCGAAUUAAUACCGCAUACGACCUUCGGGUGAAAGGGGGGGAUCUUCGGACCUCUCGCUAUUGGAGUGGCCGAUGGCUGAUUAGUUUGUUGGUGGGGUAACGGCCUACCAAGACUGCGAUCAGUAGCUGGUCUGAGAGGACGAUCAGCCACACUGGGACUGAGACACGGCCCAGACUCCUACGGGAGGCAGCAGUGGGGAAUCUUGGACAAUGGGCGAAAGCCUGAUCCAGCAA
rnacentral:rRNA from 1 species